rnacentral:rRNA from 1 species
GACGAACGCUGGCGGCGUGCUUAACACAUGCAAGUCGAACGGAAAGGCCCUGCUUUUGUGGGGUGCUCGAGUGGCGAACGGGUGAGUAACACGUGAGUAACCUGCCCUUGACUUUGGGAUAACUUCAGGAAACUGGGGCUAAUACCGGAUAGGAGCUCCUGCUGCAUGGUGGGGGUUGGAAAGUUUCGGCGGUUGGGGAUGGACUCGCGGCUUAUCAGCUUGUUGGUGGGGGAGUGGCUUACCAAGGGUUUGACGGGUAGCCGGCCUGAGAGGGUGACCGGCCACAUUGGGACUGCGGUACGGACCAGACUCCUAUGUGAGGCAGCAGUGGGGAAUAUUGUACAGUGGGCGGAAGCCUGAUGCAGAAGCGCCGCGUGCGGGAUGACGGCCUUCGGGUUGUAAACCGCUUUCGCCUGUGACGAAGCGUGAGUGACGGUAAUGGGUGAAGAAGCACCGGCUAACUACGUG